rnacentral:rRNA from 1 species
GAUGAACGCUGGCGGCGUGCCUAAUACAUUCAAGUCGAGCGAACGGACGAGAAGCUUGCUUCUCUGAUGUUAGCGGCGGACGGGUGAGUAACACGUGGAUAACCUACCUAUAAGACUGGGAUAACUUCGGGAAACCGGAGCUAAUACCGGAUAAUAUUUUGCACCGCAUGGUUCAAAAGUGAAAGACGGUCUUGCUGUCACUUAUAGAUGGAUCCGCGCUGCAUUAGCUAGUUGGUACGGUAACGGCUUACCAAGGCAACGAUGCAUAGCCGACCUGCGAGGGUGAUCGGCCACACUGGAACUGAGACACGGUCCAGACUCCUAAGGGAGGCAGAAGGAGGGAAUCUUCCGCAAAGGGCGAAAGCCUGACGGAGCAACGCCGCGUGAGUGAUGAAGGUCUUCGGAUCGUAAAACUCUGUUAUUAGGGAAGAACAUAUGUGUAAGUAACUGUGCACAUCUUGACGGUACCUAAUCAGAAAGCCACGGCUAACUACGUG